AUGGCAGAGCCUGGGGCUGCCCCAGGUCCCCUGCCAGCCCUACUGGGGUCAGCCCGUCACCCCUGCACACCCCACAAGGACCAGAGCCCCGUCGGCAGCCCCCCGGAUGGCCACCUGCAAAGUCCCCAAAUUCCUGGGGCUCCAUGGGUGACACCGCCCGGCACCCACCCACCCAGCACCCACCUUCCUGGCUCAGCCCGGUGCCAGCUCCAGCCAUGGGUCCGCAGCAAGGGGCAGGAGGGAGAGGGCUGGGAGCUGAGCCCCGCGGGGCGUGGUGCUGAGCGUUGUGCAAGCCCCACGGCUCGGCCGGCGCUGGCUGGAGGCCAGGAGGAGCAGGGGCUGCUCUCCAGGUGUGCUGGGCUCUGCCCGACGUGCUGGUUUGCCUCCCCCAGAGCCCGGUUCCCUCGGCAGCACCCAGCGCCGCUGCGUGCCUGCCCGCUGCGUCACCGCCGGGUGCUGCCCCGCGUGGGUGCAGGGCGUUGGGCCCGAAAGUGCCUGGCUUCUGCCUGGGGUGCGAAUGCAUCAGAGAGGGGCUCUGCAUCUUUCGGUCCCCGGGAUAGGCGGCAGGAUGGAGAAGCAGGGAUGGGGUGGCCUUUGCUGCUCCGUAGGGUGCCGUGCCCCCUUGCAUCGCUCCCCUGGGUGCAUGCGCUCGGCUGUGGGUGCAGCACCACACACAGCCCCGUGGGGCAGGGUCCCCAGCACUGCUUGUGGGGUCUUGGCAUGGCUCAGAGUCCCCAUCUUGAUCCACCACAUCACUGCAUCCCCAGCCACGGCUGUAACACACCUCCCACCUGCGCUCCCUUAGCAUGGAUAGGUUCAUGUCCCCCCAAAACCUCCUCCCCGGCUAUGGUAGAGGUACCUGCCCUGCGGGUACGUGGCCAGAGGGAGCAGGACUUCCUUUUGGAGCGGGGAAACCCUUUCCUGGUUGCGUGUUCAGCAGCCUCCCUGCGUGCUCGGGUCUCCUCCGCAGCGCUGAGCGUGUGUGUCGGGAGGAGACGGGUGAGUUGUUCUGCUCCUAGCACCUGGGUGAGUCUGGCAAACAGCUCCGCGGAGCUCAUUGUCUGCGCACAUGCACACACACGCUCAGGUUGA
rnacentral:lncRNA from 1 species